GAUCAUGGCUCAGGACGAACGCUGGCGGCGUGCUUCAUACAUGCAAGUCGAACGCGAAUCGGUAGCUUGCUACCGAGGAAAGUGGCGGACGGGUGAGUAAUAUGUAGAGAAUCUGCCCUAGAGAGGGGGACAACAGCUGGAAACGGUUGCUAAUACCCCAUAUGAGCGUACCUGAAAUGGUAUUCUUGAAAACUCCGGUGCUCUAGGAUGAGUCUGCAUCUGAUUAGCUAGG
rnacentral:rRNA from 1 species